rnacentral:tRNA from 1 species
GGGGUUGUAGCUCAGUGGUAGAGCACUUGCCUAGCAAGCGCAAGGCCCUGGGUUCGGUCCCCAGCUCCG